AGACUAUUAGUUUACCGUACCGGAACGCAAACGGAAGGAAGACGUCGUAAAACAGGACGCCGUCCGGUGCCUCGUGCCAAGCGCAUCCAAUCCAAGACAAUCCGUUAAGGAACAUUCUGUUGCUGCUAUGCCGACGCGUCUCGUUAGGCGUACGGGCACCGGAAUCGCAGAAAGAUCUCAGAACUUGGACGAGCUAUGGACUCAUAACUGACGUGUCAGAUAAUGCCCUGGUUUUGGAUUACGGCAGCAAUGGCAAGGAGCACUCAUGAAAAGCACGGCAAAAUCUUGCUUCAUCGUACAGGCGAGGAGAUGAUGGCCACAUUAUUGGCUGACCGAAGGCCGUCGACGGUAACGUCAUCGGCAAGAAGAAUACAAGAGGAGCGGCACGACAUCGACCACAUCAGAGGGCACGGCAACUAUCUAGCGGACAGUAGGAAUGAACGGCUACUGUUACUUUUCCAGUAUCGACCUUAUUGUCAAGACAGCAAACACGUCAAAGCGCGACUUUGGAACUCACGGUGGUGUUCACAGCACAAACGCAGUGAAUUUAAAAGGGAUCAGUGACUUUCACACCGCUCCGACGAUUACGUCUCCGGCUAC